rnacentral:rRNA from 1 species
AACGAACGCUGGCGGCAGGCUUAACACAUGCAAGUCGAACGGAUCCUUCGGGAUUAGUGGCAGACGGGUGAGUAACGCGUGGGAACGUACCCUUUGCUACGGAAUAACUCAGGGAAACUUGAGCUAAUACCGUAUGUGCCCUACGGGGGAAAGAUUUAUCGGCAAAGGAUCGGCCCGCGUUGGAUUAGCUAGUUGGUGGGGUAAUGGCCUACCAAGGCGACGAUCCAUAGCUGGUCUGAGAGGAUGAUCAGCCACACCGGGACUGAGACACGGCCCAGACUCCUACGGGAGGCAGCAGUGGGGAAUAUUGGACAAUGGGCGCAAGCCUGAUCCGGCCAUGCCGCGUGAGUGAUGAAGGUCUUAGGAUUGUAAAGCUCUUUCACCGGUGAAGAUAAUGACGGUAGCCGGAGAAGAAGCCCCGGCUAACUUCGUG